GUGAAAGUAGCUCAGUUUGGAUAGAGCAUUGGAUUGUGGUUCCAAGGGUCGCGGGUUCGAAUCCCGUCUUUCACC
rnacentral:tRNA from 1 species